rnacentral:lncRNA from 1 species
GCUUUAUAUUAGAAAUAGUUAAAUCCAGGAAUGCAUGUGGAAGGGCGGAGCGAGCAGUUUGCGGUGGCUCUACAUUGGCAACAAGAUGCUAUCGUACUUCUUUUUUUAUUAUUUUAAUACUACAAGUGGUCGCAAUUUAAUUCCAGGGGGGACCUGCUCGUGCCAUUAUGACAACUCCCCGUAGUUUCCUCGUGAUCUAGGGCCUCCCCAAUCCCCAUUAGGAUUAGUAUCUAUCGGUCAUUUCUCCGUCCACCAAACGACUAUAUUUGCCCUAUCGGAAUGCGAAAUCGUCAAUCCGCUUCCUGUAAUUACAUUCGUCUCUAUAAUUGCAGACCCGUCCGUGUUCUGCUCGCAUGCAAGCUGCAAGAGCUGCACCACGGGGCUCAUUCAAUGCUGG